rnacentral:rRNA from 1 species
GACGAACGCUGGCGGCGUGCCUAAUACAUGCAAGUCGAGCGGACGAAUCGAAAGCUUGCUUUUGAUUCGUUAGCGGCGGACGGGUGAGUAACACGUGGGCAACCUGCCCUGUAGACGGGGAUAACACCGAGAAAUCGGUGCUAAUACCGGAUAACACGAAAUGUCGCAUGACGUUUCGUUGAAAGACGGCGCAAGCUGUCGCUACAGGAUGGGCCCGCGGCGUAUUAGCUAGUUGGUGAGGUAACGGCUCACCAAGGCGACGAUGCGUAGCCGACCUGAGAGGGUGAUCGGCCACACUGGGACUGAGACACGGCCCAGACUCCUACGGGAGGCAGCAGUAAGGAAUCUUCCGCAAUGGACGAAAGUCUGACGGAGCAACGCCGCGUGAGCGAAGAAGGCCUUCGGGUCGUAAAGCUCUGUUGUUAGGGAAGAACAAGUAACGCAGUAACUGGCGUUACCGUGACGGUACCUAACGAGAAAGCCACGGCUAACUACGUG